CUGGUCAGAAUGUCGCCAGUCGGGGCGGGGAGCUUCCCUAGAGAGGACGCGGAGACCUCAGCUCGCCCCACCCAUGGAGCAAGGUCUCACCCUGCUGUGGAGCAGCAUUGCAGGGUGCAUCUGCGGGGGCAGGGGCAGGGUUACCAAGCACUGUCAGAGAAGUACCCGCUCAGCUUGGGGGUGAGGCACAUUAGGGUCUGGACUGGGGGGAUUUAUUUUGGGAGUGGAAAUCUGCAAUUUGUGAAUCAGUUGUAUUGGAAAAAAAGCAGGGCUGGAUCUGGUGGUGCACACCUGUUAUCCUAGAACUCAGGAGGCCAAGGCAGGAGGAUUGCUUCGAGUUCAAGGCCAGCCUGGGCUACAUAGGGAGUUCAAGGCCAGCCUGAACUACAUAGUGAGGCUCUGUCUGGGAAAAAAAAAAAGAAUAAAUAAAAAAGCAUGAGAGGCCAGGGAUUUAGCUCAGUAGUUCUGGCACCUGCCUCAAAAGCACAAGGUCCCGAGUUCUAUCCCCGGUACCAAAAAAAACAAAAAACAAAAAACAAAAAAAAAUGGGCCCAAUUUCCAGGGGAAAGACAAUAGCCCAUUUACAGGUUUAUUGUAUGUUUUUAAGAUUUAGGGAUUUUGGAGUUGGCUGGAAGGGAAAAAAGAAGGCAUUGCAACUUCAGGUACCUUUGUGUCCUAAAGCUGCAGUUUAGGAUGAUACGAAAAUUACAAUUUUUCCUGUUGUCUUCUUUCUACCUAUCUUUAUUUCUUCUGACCUAGCUCAGGAAUAGAAACACCUAAGGUUAGGGAAGUUUUGAGGAUGAAAUGGGACAAUGUAUCAACCACCCCCAACACACAAAGCAAGGUGCUGUAAAUGGUAACUAUUGUUAUUGUUUUGUGUUUUUUUGGUACUGGGGAUCGAACUCAGGUCCUUGCACUUUCGAGGCAAGCGAUGGAAGCACUGAGCUAAAUCCACAGCCCAACUAUUGUUAUUCUUAUUUUUCACUCUGUAUCCCUAUACUAUAUAAAGUAAAAUCACCAACUGGUUUCAAAUACUGCUUUAAAUUUGACAUCUCAGAAUACAACUCUCACUGUAUAGUGCAGAUGGCAUUAAAGUCAAAGUCAGGGGUUCAUCCCCAUCCCUAAUUUACUUAUUUCCAUGCCACUACCACUGCAAGAUGAGUUAACUCAGUCGUCCUCUGAAAAUUCCUCUACUUCCCGUCCCUCCUCAGGGAUUUCCUGACCCGCCAUUCGAAGCAUCGUGGCUUGAAGAGGAGUCAGCUCCUUCAUGUUCUUCUUUUUCUUUCUUGAUUUUCCAGGCAUAUCUGCAAACCGCACACUCAGACCUGACUUCUUCUCUUCAGUGUUGUCUCGCUCGUUGUCAUCGCGGUGAACAAACUCAUCCCCCUCACUUUCUCCUUCCAUCCUGUCCGUGUCACUGUCAUCAGUGCUGUCAUGGUGCUUGUCUUGGUCCAUGUCCUCAGGGUAGCCGUCAUCUUCACUGGUGCUGGAAACGUCAUCAUCAUGGCAACGCUGAGCAAGAUCAGGACUAUACAACAUGUCCUCAUCCCGCCUACGAGGAGGAAGAUCUAGAGCAAAGCCCACCCUAGGGCCGUACAUCUGCAAGACUUGAGCGGAGGUGGGCCAGGGGGAGGACCAGGAGGUUUCCUGCCGGGGGGCAAACGUGGAACACCAUGUCCAAGAAGAGGAAGGAUGGAAACUGCUCGAGUUGGCGGUCCGUAGGCUGAGGUUUUCUUAAGAACGGAGGGUGGCUGGGCACCAGGAAGUGGAAUGUCCUGGAUUAAGAUGUUGGAAGGAGCUCGAGUUGGUGGUCCAUAGGCCGAGGCUUUCUUAAGAACGGAGGGUGGCUGGAUUAAGAUGUUGGAAGGAGCAUGCGGCAUAUCUGGUAAAGGAAUACACUUUACUUCCACAUGCUGAGCGUUCUUGACAGCAUCAAAAUACUGGCUAAGUUGAGCCCUUUUCUGUUCAUAUUCUACUUCUAGUUUUCUCAAUUCUUUGUAAAUAUCUGGAUUCUCUUUUUCAUGAAGUCGUAGGAUACGUUCAAAGGUUUCACGAAGCUUUUUACGUUUGUCUUCGAGUACUUUCUCAUUUAACUGUGGUUGUUGCACUGGGUUAAACUCCAUUUCAUCCAAUUUCUCCAUGUCCCGGAGAAUCUGUUUGGGAUCUUUCAUCUUCAAAACUGCAGCUCGAACCAUCAUGCGCUGUUUUUUGUUCUUCUUUAAUUCUCUCUUCCGGGCUUCCUUUUGAGCUUGAUCGGUAGGGUUCAUAUACUUUCCACUCUUGGUGGAUGAUGUCGAUCUCUGUCCCAUAUUGUUAUUCUACAAUGGUUUACUUAUUCUUAAAAAAAAAAAAACAACACUUCUGCUGGGCUCCCAGAACUGUUAGAUGCGGGGAGGGGUCGAUUCCCGGACUCCUUUACUCCGGAGGGGCCUUCACCUCUCCUUCUCGGUCAAACACCCAGCCUCCGCCAUCUUGAAACCUCACACCCCUCCGCCAUCCUUACGUCCCUUCACAUCUUCUUUAUCCAUUUUCCAGUCGUUGGGCACUUGGGCUGUUUCCAAGCUUUAGCUAUUACAAACUGUGCCACUAUAAACAUAGGUGCACAUAUAUCGCUGUGGUAUGAUGCUUUUAAUUCUUUGGGGAAGAUACCCAGAAGGGGAAUAGCUGGGUGAAGUGGGCCUCUAAUCCUAGUUCUUUGAGGUAUCUCCAUACUGAUUUCCACAGUGGUUGCACCAGUCUACACUCCCACCAGCAGUAGAGCAGUGUUCCUCUUCCCCCACAGCCCCGCCAGCAUUUGUUAUUGGUUGAUUUCUUGAUAGCAGCCAUUCUUUCUGGAGUGAAGUGGAAUCUCAGCAUUGUUUUCAUUUGCAUCUCUCGAAUGA
rnacentral:lncRNA from 1 species